rnacentral:rRNA from 1 species
GAUGAACGCUGGCGGCGUGCCUAAUACAUGCAAGUCGAGCGAACAGAUGAGGAGCUUGCUCCUCUGACGUUAGCGGCGGACGGGUGAGUAACACGUGGAUAACCUACCUAUAAGACUGGGAUAACUUCGGGAAACCGGAGCUAAUACCGGAUAAUAUAUUGAACCGCAUGGUUCAAUAGUGUAAGACGGUUUUGCUGUCACUUAUAGAUGGAUCCGCGCCGCAUUAGCUAGUUGGUAAGGUAACGGCUUACCAAGGCAACGAUGCGUAGCCGACCUGAGAGGGUGAUCGGCCACCCUGGAACUGAGACGCGGUCCAGACUCCUACGAGAGGCAGCAGUAGGGAAUCUUCCGGAAUGGGCGAAAGCUUGACGGAGCAACGCCGCGUGAGUGAUGAAGGUCUUCGGAUCGUAAAACUCUGUUAUUAGGGGAGAACAAAUGUGUAAGUAACUAUGCACGUCUUGACGGUACCUAAUCAGAAAGCCACGGCUAACUACGUG